rnacentral:rRNA from 1 species
AACGAACGCUGGCGGCAGGCCUAACACAUGCAAGUCGAACGGGAUCUUCGGAUCUAGUGGCGGACGGGUGAGUAACGCGUGGGAACGUGCCCUCUGGUUCGGAAUAGCCCUGGGAAACUGGGAGUAAUACCGGAUACGGUCGAGAGACGAAAGAUUUAUCGCCGGAGGAUCGGCCCGCGUUGGAUUAGGUAGUUGGUGGGGUAAUGGCCUACCAAGCCGACGAUCCAUAGCUGGUUUGAGAGGAUGAUCAGCCACACUGGGACUGAGACACGGCCCAGACUCCUACGGGAGGCAGCAGUGGGGAAUCUUAGACAAUGGGGGAAACCCUGAUCUAGCCAUGCCGCGUGAGCGAUGAAGGCCUUAGGGUUGUAAAGCUCUUUCAGCUGGGAAGAUAAUGACUGUACCAGCAGAAGAAGCCCCGGCUAACUCCGUGCCAGCCGCCGCCGUAAUAC